UGAGGAAUAUUGGUCAAUGGGCGCAAGCCUGAACCAGCCAUCCCGCGUGCAGGAAGACGGCCCUAUGGGUUGUAAACUGCUUUUCCAGGGGGAGAAACUUGCGCACGUGUUGCGCAAUUGACGGUACCCUGGGAAUAAGCAUCGGCUAACUCCGUGCCAGCAGCCGCGGUAAUACGGAGGAUGCGAGCGUUAUCCGGAUUCAUUGGGUUUAAAGGGUGCGUAGGCGGACUAUUAAGUCAGUGGUGAAAUCCUGCAGCUUAACUGCAGAACUGCCAUUGAUACUGAUAGCCUUGAGUUUGGUUAAGGUAGGCGGAAUGUGUAAUGUAGCGGUGAAAUGCUUAGAUAUUACACAGAACACCAAUUGCGUAGGCAGCUUACUGAGCCGACACUGACGCUGAG
rnacentral:rRNA from 1 species